UACGUAGGGUGCAAGCGUUGUCCGGAAUUAUUGGGCGUAAAGAGCUCGUAGGCGGUUUGUCGCGUCUGCUGUGAAAACUCAGGGCUUAACCCUGAGCCUGCAGUGGGUACGGGCAGACUAGAGUGUGGUAGGGGAGAUCGGAAUUCCUGGUGUAGCGGUGAAAUGCGCAGAUAUCAGGAAGAACACCCGUGGCUAAGGCGGCUCUCUAGUACGGUACUGACGCUGAGACGCGAAAGCGUGGGGAGCGAACAGG
rnacentral:rRNA from 1 species